rnacentral:rRNA from 1 species
UACGUAGGGCGCAAGCGUUGUCCGGAAUUAUUGGGCGUAAAGAGCUCGUAGGCGGCUUGUCACGUCGGGUGUGAAAGCCCGGGGCUUAACCCCGGGUCUGCAUUCGAUACGGGCUAGCUAGAGUGUGGUAGGGGAGAUCGGAAUUCCUGGUGUAGCGGUGAAAUGCGCAGAUAUCAGGAAGAACACCAGCGGCGAAGGCGGCACUCUGGGCUGGAAUUGACGCUGAGGAGCGAAAGUGUGGGUAGCAAACAGG